ensembl:lncRNA
UUGGUCAUGAAGAUUUUCUGAAAUCAAGAUGUCCUUUAUUUUGAUACAUAAAUUAAUUUCCCAGAGCAUUAUGCUCAUAUCACAGGUUUCCCUAGUUUUGAACUCAAAGGUAAGAACAGAAUUCCUGAAAAGAGCCAUCUGUAUGGAGGGGGAAUUAUUUUUUAAAGUUUUUGCUGAAAAUGUUAUUGGCAAUUCAGCACUUCAGUCAAAUUUGCAGCGUGCAAAAUUCUUUCUAUGUGGCGAAGCAUAAAGGGACUAACGAUGAUCGUGUUAAGACCAAUGCUAAAGAAAGGCUCUUGCCUGUAUCUCUUCCUCCCUCUCCCAGAUUUUGUACAACUGGGAAAUUUUGAAGUGCUUUGAAGAUGAGAAUUUGUAUAUAAACAUCAAGUAUUACUGCAAUGAUUUGUUAGCAUUUACUCUUAGUACAUAUGCAUAACAGCUGACGUGCUGCAGAAAUCCAAAGUGGAGUUCAAAUCCCACAAACUGUAUUUGUAGCUCUCUUCCUGCUGAGCUAAUGAUAUUUGUAGAGCCCUUCCUGCUGAAAUAGUGCUACCAAUAAAAACAGCCCCAGGGUUUUUUGGGGGAAUAGGAGGAGGGAUGGUCGGAAGGCGAAGGUGAAGGUGGGGAUGUGAUUAAAAGGUGGACAUGACAGCCCUCUGAGCAGUCGGAGUACGUGCUCUGACAUGGCAUACGAACAUCGGUUUGAAGAAUCCUUUCAUGUCUUCAGAAUGUUAAUAUGAAAUGCAAAACGUCAUGCUUUGGAUAGAUGGGUAGGAACAAAAUGUUCAGAUGCAAUAUGGUGCAUUAAGUACAGUCUCCAGUCUGUAUUCCUGGCUUUUCCAUUGGUUUAAAUCAGACUUGCUGUUUUUAAAGUCUCCCGUGUCAUGUUGAGUUACUGCUAUAGUCGUCUCUAAAAAUAAGUAUACUGUCAUUUCUGGGACCUACCAAAAAUUGAGGCUGUGGCAUAAUAAUUUUCAAUUUUUGUUACACUGUUGAUGUGACAGAGUUCUUUGCAAUAUAUACAUGCCUAAUGUAGUUCUUAACAGGCUCCCACCCUGCAAAUCAGGCAGAUGUUGUAGAAAAGGUGUGUUGCACUCUGCCAUACCUGCCAAAUAAGUGGAGGUUUUCCAGGGGAAAGUGAGUAAAAGAAACAUUAUAGUUUUUCCUAUGUAAGGUAUAAUAUUGAUGAUUUUUAGCAUCCGCAUGGUAAAAUCCUGGUCUCUGCAAGGAUUUUGUAAUGAGAUAGUGAACAACUAGUAAUUAUCUUCUAGUAAAAGAAAAGCUUUUCUAGCAGUACUUUCCUGCACUACACUGACAGAGGAUGGAAGUUUCGCAAAGAUGGAAAGCAGUUAUUCAAAUAAGAAGCUGGCGUGAAAAGAGAUGAGAAAGGAGGCUAAAAGAGAAAACGUGUUUUUUUCACCUGUUCCAUGGUAUUUUGCCACAACUCAGCUCUCAAGCUUCUCUUCUCUUUCCCUGCACCAAUACCUAAUUUGAAUUUUAAAAUUACCACAUUGUUUCCUUCCUAAAAUUGUAACUGACAUUCCUAGAAAAUUUGCUUUCCCAGAAAAGCAUUGUGCGUAGGCUGUAAAUUUAGCUUUUCACAAGUGAGAAAAAGACAUUUUCUUCAAUAACCUACACUGCCAACAUGACCACAAAAUGUGCGCAGAGUCAGCAUUUGUCCAUUUAAAUCAGACUUUUAAGCACAUGAUUCAGUUAACCACCAAAACGCAUUUAUGCAGGUGUGGGCAUUGUACUUAUUUGAAAGGAUUUAUUCAGUGAGUAGUGUAUUAUUUUCAUUGAGGGAUUUGGUUUUCAAUUCAUACUGCGUAACACAAAACUUCUUUGUAUUAUAGACUAACGUUGUGGGAUUUUGUUGGCUUUUGUUUGGUUGGUUUUUUGUCAUCAUUUGUUGGCUUUGUUUUGUUUCAUUUCCCCAAGUGAUAUGUUUUAAACUUUCUCAGUUCCUAUUUCUGCCUCUUAAUCCUAUAAGGUGCUUGGACUCUCCCGACGAGGAAUUCAUAGAACCACAGAAUGGCUUGGGUCCUUAAAGCCCAUUUAGAUCCAACCCCCCUCCAUGGGCUGGUUGCCACCCAGUAGAUGAAGCUGCCCAGGGUCCCAUCCAGCCUGUCCUUGAACAGCUCCAGUGAUGGGGCAUCCACAGCUUCUCUGGGCACCUGUGCCACUGCCAUUCCCAUGAUAUCACUCUCAUUCUGGUGAAAUUUACACAAGCCACUGUGAAAGAGUGUGCUCUGAUGCUACUUCUCCUGUAUGGAGCCUCCGUAGUGUGGGUUUGAUGCCAGACUGUCAUCCAGAAAUUUCAGUGUGUAGAAGAAACUGCUCAAAGGAAAGGAUGUGAAUGUGGACCGUACCCUCUCGUCCUCAGCUAGCUGCUGUUUAUGGCAGCAUGGAUAUGACAGGUGGUGUGAGCGGUGAGCCACAAAGUUGCUGAUGCUUCAUGUACCCAAGGAGCAACCAAGAUCCAGGAUCACGGUGUCCGGCUGUCAGCAGAGAGCGGGGAGCAUUCACACAUGAACAAGUCUUCCUCUGAGAACUGGAAGCUGAAGCCUUCAUCAGAUAAAUGGCGUGCAUACAGGAGUAAGGAGCUGCCUGGAUCCAGAGGGCUGUGAGGACUGCAGCACAGAGCUGCCUGUGGAUACGUUUGCUGAGCCAUUUCAGGGGCAGGGAGGAGAGCUGAACUGAAUAAAAGCAGUCCCAUCUCUCAGAAGAACAUCUGGGUUUGAACAGUUUGGAACAGCCAGAGGUACCAGUAAAGGAGGCAGCGGCUGGCAGUGCCUCAUGGUUUCCUAACACCACUUCUCUGGGAUACAGGGACAAAUCUUGACAUUGUUCACCUUAAAACUCCACUGGUGCACAUGAAGAGUUUGAAAUCCAGAAGGAUCUAGACAUGGAGCUGCACGCUUGGUUCGUACAGGAAAAACAGACUUUAUGAAGCACGUGCCCUUGCAGCCAGGAGGCAGCCCUGGUGAUAAGCCCUAUGUAUCAGUGAAACCGUGCUCCAUGAACGCCCGUGCAAAGGUUCAGAGCCCUGAUUUGAAUUUUUGGGCUUGUUUGUGUUUCAAAAGCAAAGCCACUGAACUGCAUCUUGAAAAACAUACUCCAGUGCAGGCUUCCUCCAAACACAGCCAAGGUUUGAUCAAAAGGUUCUCAGGUCUGCGGCCCUUCUGACAAACCUGAUGAAUGUUUGCACUUGCAAAGUAAACCCCAAACCAAGGGAAUUUGCAUGGGCUCGCCAUGGAGAUUUCUUUUUUCCAGCUCUUGCCAAAAUCCCAUCUCUGUCCUGGGACUGGGCUUUGGCGGCCGGCGUUCUGCUAUUUGUAUUGAUAUACCUGCCAGCAGGCACAAAAAACAAAUACCUACACCCAGACAAAAUAUCUGGCUGUGUUUGUAAAGCCCCAAAUAAGAAGCCAUGUUGUAUUUCGGUUUGAUGGCAAUGCCCGUCUGUAUGGAUCAGGCCACGUGGUGUUUGCUUGUCCAAAACACUGAGAUAAUCCCUUCUGCACAGAGAAAUACAUUUUAAUUACGGAGCAAUAAAUACGGUGCCUGUUUUUGCUGGGUGCGUUUUCUAUCAGCGGACAAAAGCUGACAUUCGUUUUGCUGAUAGCCUGAUGUUCCCCCACCACUGCUGCUGAAUUUGCCUUGCCCAAGGAAAUUGAAAGGAUCAGAGCACAUCUGAUGUUCCAUUAAUUUAAAGCGGCUGCCAGGACUUGCAUAUUGUAGCAGCUUUAAAGUGAUUGAAUUUGGAUUAUUUCAAACUCUGCAAAGUCCUGCCUCGCCCGGCUGAGGCAUAUCAAGUGACAACAUAAAAUAUGAGCCCGGCUGAGGGAUAUCUGCGAGCACACACGUUCUCCCUGCACGCGCAGCCCUGCAACAGGCAGAUUGGAGGCGAUGGAACGCGCAGCGCUGGGACAGUCGCGGUCGCUCCGUGGCGGCAGCGCAGUGAGGUGGGGACACCUGGUGUCCAGCGCCGAGGGGACACGGGCCGGGGCUGCACCAGGUGCAGUGCCUCUGGGACCGGUGGCCACGCAGUGCCGCGCGUACCUUGUGAAGGGAGUAUGGGAGUUCAGCUCCAAAGGAAGCGUCGGGGCUGCCAAGGCCCGAUUAGUCAUAAACCCGCAGCAUUAUCGCCAUCCAUCACUGCCCUGCUUUCAAUGACCAUGCAGAAGGAGAGGCUUCCAAGUGUUGGGGUGGCUGCGGCUGUCAGAGCGGUGGGGCACCCAAACGCAGGACAGCGCUCGGUGCGCUUUGGUAGAGCCCUGCCCGAAAAACCCGAAAAAUCAUCUGAAUGAAUCACAAAACAUAUGUUAUGCUUUGCUGUAAAAGCCAUGGAGUUUGUGCAGCGCUCCAUUAUGGGGACUGCUCGGCUUUUCAUGCAUUCCUAAAUUACCAUGUAAUCUAAAACCUUGUUUUCAGCUGCUCUAUAUUGGAAAGUCCCUCGCAAUAAUCAAGAUGAUUACAGACUGGUGUGGAGAACAAAACGUGUUUGUGUUAUUGCAAAUACAAAUGCAGUUUAUCAGAAAUUUUACCUUUUCGAGGGGAAAAAUAAAGAUAAUAAUAAACCCUUUUUCCCUUGCUGGAAAUAUUUUAAGCGUGGAAUUAAUUUUGGCUGCUCUGCAACUUAAAAGCACAUGGAUACUCGGUGUAAAAAUAUGCUCCUUUCCUGUAGGGACUUGACUCUAAUUGGUGUGCCAAAACUAUCUCACAGAGAUUUCAUUGUCUUAUCUACUUACAUCAUCUUAAUGCGAUUUUAUUUUACUUUGUCAAAGUCAUAUUAAUGUAAAUGUGUUCUUGAUAGCAAACAGAGUUCUUUUUUAUGCUAAACGGGAUUCAGCUGCCUCCAAUAAAACAGCUUGCAAUCCAUUAGGCUAUAACCGUAAUAUAGUUAUUUCGUUUCCCAAAUAAAGACCGUGUCAGAAAGCUG